ACUCUGGAGCCUGGACUCUGGAGUUUGUAACCUGAACUCUGAAGGCCCUUUCCUUGCCUUGCUUCUGGAACCUUCCACACAAUUCCAGUAGUCCCAAGCUUCCAGAAAUUUCUGUAUCCUCUUCUAUCACGCUUUCCCUUCCCCUUAUCUUCUUCCUCCUCAGUAAUCAUCAUACUUCAAAACUAUACAAAUCUCUCGUCUCUCACCGUAACAUCUCAAAGUUGGUGCAGAUUAUUAAUUGUUGCUCCACAGCGCAACCAGGCGAAGGAAGGCAAAAAAGAAGAGCAGAGCUUUCUCCGAUAACAGCCAUAGUGGAUGGGAGUCGAUUAUUACAAGAUCUUACAGGUAGAUAGGAACGCCAAAGAUGAAGAUCUUAAGAAAUCUUACAGAAAGCUUGCCAUGAAAUGGCACCCUGACAAGAACCCCAAUAAAAAGAAGGAAGCUGAAGCCAAAUUCAAACAGAUCUCUGAAGCCUACGAGGUUCUUAGUGAUCCUCAGAAGAGAGCAAUCUAUGACCAAUACGGUGAAGAGGGCCUCAAAGGCCAAGUGCCUCCGCCAGGCUCCGGUGGUCCGGGCGGGGCUACGUUCUUCCAGACGGGAGAUGGGCCAAACGUGUUCAGGUUUAAUCCGAGAAACGCAGAUGACAUAUUCGCUGAGUUCUUUGGAUUCUCGAGCCCUUUCGGAGGAAUGGGAGGUGGUGGUGGCGGUAGUGGUGGGGGCAUGAAUGGCGGGUCCAGGUUCCCUGGCGGUAUGUUUAGCAAAAAUUUCUUCCCUUCGUUUGGGGAGGGAGGUUCCAUGAAUCAGGGUCCUCGUAAAGCUGCUCCCAUAGAGAAGAGUUUGCCCUGUACCCUUGAGGAGCUCUAUAAGGGGACUACCAAGAAGAUGAAGAUAUCCAGAGAGAUUUCUGAUGUGAGUGGGAAAACAAUGCCAGUAGAAGAGAUUAUAACUAUUGACAUAAAGCCUGGCUGGAAGAAAGGAACAAAGAUCACAUUCCCAGAGAAAGGGAAUGAACAACCAAAUGUUAUACCUGCAGAUCUCGUCUUCAUAGUUGAUGAAAAACCGCAUGAGAUCUUCACUAGGGAUGGAAAUGAUCUGAUACUCACCCAGAAGAUAACACUCAUGGAAGCUCUCACAGGUUACACAGUGCAUCUAACUACACUUGAUGGCAGGAAUCUUACUAUUCCCAUCAAUAAUGUUAUCCAUUCAAAUUAUGAAGAGGUUGUUCCAAGGGAGGGGAUGCCAAUACCAAAAGAGCUCCCAAAGAAGGGGGAUUUAAGAAUCAAGUUCGACAUAAAGUUCCCAAAGAGGUUGACAGCCGAUCAGAAGGCUGGAAUCAAGAGAUUGUUGGCUCCAUAAGCUUCCUGAUUUACACCAGACCAACACAUAUUGCAUGGACACUUAAAUGUGAAAUCUUUGGAGUCUCAUGAUAUGAUAUGUUUGUCUGCCAAAAUUUGGAAGUCUGAAGAUGAAUGAAGAAGAGUCAUAUUGACUAUAACUGCAAAACUCAAACUAUUCUAGACUUUACCUGAUGGGCGCUUGUGCCAUAUGCCAAAGCUUCCCAAGCUAGGUAUGUUUCCUUUGGAAUACUCGGUUCUUGUUUGCUCAAGCCGUGGGAGUAUUUUAUCUUGAUUGGAGAUUUGUAUUUUUAGUAUAUAGAUAAUUACAUUUGUGUAUUUGAAACUCAAAAAUAAAGAUAUUUAUUACAAUUUGAGUUUAACACAAUAA